rnacentral:rRNA from 1 species
UACGUAGGGGGCAAGCGUUGUCCGGAUUUAUUGGGCGUAAAGAGCGUGUAGGCGGCCAGGUAGGUCUGCUGUGAAAACUCGAGGCUUAACCUCGAGCUGUCGGCGGAAACCAUCUGGCUAGAGUCCGGAAGAGGAGAAUGGAAUUCCCGGUGUAGCGGUGAAAUGCGCAGAUAUCGGGAAGAACACCCGUGGCGAAGGCGGUUCUCUGGGACGGUACUGACGCUGAGAGACGAAAGCUAGGGGAGCGAGUGGG